ACUUGAGUAAAUGCAAAGCAGUGAGAUUGCUGGGUCAUACAGUAAGUAUAUGUUUAACUUCUUAAGAAUUUGCCAAACUUUUCCAGUGUGUCUGCACCAUUUCCAUUUCCACCAGCAGGUAUAUGUGAGUUUAAGUUGCUUUGUAUACUUGCUGGAACUUGGUAUUUUAAUUUUUUUAUGUUUUGAAUAUUUUAGUUAUUCUAAUAGCUGUGCAUUGGUGCCACAUUGUGGUUUUAAUUUGCAUUUCUUUAAUGACUAAUUUUGUUGAAGGUAUUUAUAUACUGACUUGCUGUCUAUGUGGGAUGUGUCUGUUCACAUAUUUGGCACAGUUUUAUUGGACUGUCUCUUUUCCUAUUAAAUUUUGAGAGUUUCAUUGAGUUGGAGAAUCUUACAUAUUCUGGAUACAAACCCUUGACUAGAGAUGUGAUUUACAAAUAUUGCUGCUCAACCUUUGGCUUUUAUUUUCAUUUUCUCAGCAAUUUAUUCCAACAAACAGUACUUAAUUUUGAUAAAAUUCAAUGUAUCCAUCCUUUCCCUUAUAGAUCAUGUUUUGAAAAUUUUAAGCUAAGAAAUCUUUGCCUAAGCCAUGAUCACAAAUAUUUUUCUCUUUGUUUUCUUCUGGAAAUUAUAUAGUUUUAGUACUUAUAUUUAAGUCUAUGGUCCAUUUUGAAUCGAUUUUUGCAUAAAGUAUGAAUCUAGAUCAUUUUCUUGCAUAUGUAUAUCCAAUUGUUCUAGUAACACUUGUUGAAAAUUAAUCGGCUUUGCACCUUUGUUAAAAAUCAAUUGGCCAUAUAUGUGUUGGUCUAUUUCUGGACUCUAUUUGCUUUCAUUGGUCCAUAUGCCUAUUCUUUCUAUAGUAUGACACUGUCUAAACUUAGUAUAGUAGGUCAGAAAAUCAGGUAGUAUGAGUCCUCUGCCUUUCUUCUUCUAUUUCAAAAUUGUUGUAGCUGUUCUAAUUCUUUGCCCUUUCUAAAUAAAUGUUAGAAUCCAUUUGUCAAUUUUUGUGAAAGUCCUGAGGGGAUUUUAGUUGGAAUUGCAUUGAACCUAUUGCUCAGUUUGAGGAUCUCGUCCAGAAGUAAUAUACGUCAAGAAAGAAGAGAUUAUAAAUGUCUAGCAGGGACUGUUAGAAAUAUAUUUGGUGCCCUUGAUGAUUUCUCAAUCAAGACAGGGAACACUGAGGUACAACCACAUAGAGCAUCGGAGCUGCUACGGUAAAGGGGAAGGAGAGAUUCCUACUCUGGUUGAUGACACUGGAUCCUUGCAAGCUGGACAUCUCGGAACAACAGACACAGCUGUUCAACCUCAGAGGUGGGGCAAACACUGUAAUCCUCU
rnacentral:lncRNA from 1 species